GAAAAGGAAUGUGUCAAGAGGGAGCACGAAAGCUGGGUUGUCUUAUUUCAACAACGGAAUGAAAGCUUUCCAUCGUCCACAGCUUUUGCGAAAGAGAAAAAUGAAGAUUCUAGAGAGUCUCUCACCAAACAUCAAACCAAAAACAAAACCAAAACGAUUUCUUCCAUUUUUGCGUUUAUCUCACCCCAUUGAUUUAAUUUCUUCGUCCUCUCCUCCUCGUGGCAGCGUUCCAUUGAUCGGCAGAAUCUGGUGCGGUGCGGUACUUUUUGUUUCUAUUCUGAUCCCAUCGUCACUAACAAUUGUCAUCGGAUCUUCCGCGGCUUCGUUAAAGUUUGGUCUCUCAAUGAGAUAAGAUACAAUUUGCGACGCUGCGGUUUGUGUUUGAUCGAUGGCGAUAAUUUCGAUGAUCGGUUCAAGGGAUGGGGAACUGCUUCUGCUGCUGGUGGAUGCGAAGUGAAAUGGCGUCAGGAUAUAUGGUGGAAUCUCGCUCAGCCAGAUCCCAAACAAGCACAAAUGUAAGAGAAUUGUUGGAAUGAAUCAAUAUAUUUUACAAUCAGUUGUGAUAAUCAAGUAUGAAAGUAUAUAAUUGCUACUGAAUAGUAUAUCAGUUCAAUCACACUAGAUUACUCGAAAAAUAAAGUAGCCUGCCGUUCUUUGAAUCUUUCUCUGCUCAGAGUUCCUCAAAGUCCACACACCCCUACAAGUCAAGCCUUGAGAGGCAGUUUAAUACUUGAGGAUCAAGCAGUUAGCUCUCCCUCUUCAAGUAUCAAUGACGUGAUUGUCAAAGUUUCUGAUACUUAUGGAGAAAACAAAACAGUUUUCUUUUGUAUUUCUUUAAUUUGUGCAAGAGUUAAAUGUAGAAUGUUUAUAUCUGAGCCCCUGCUAUCUAGGCCAAAGUACUUUAUUCUAAUUUAAUUUUUUUCCCACUUCAAUAUCAGAAAAAGAAAAGAAAACACAGUAAAUAACUGAUAAGGAAGAGAAUAGAGAGCCAACUUUCUUCUUGUCCAAGACAAAUCUUUUUGCUGUUUUAUAAUGAUAAAUUAAUAAGAUUUUAAGCUUGUUUCAGAUGGUUCAAAUGUCCAACACAAUGAUUUUUAUUGCCUUUUUGUACAACUAAGCAUACUGAAUACUGCCAAAUUCCACCCCUUCAAAAUUUGCUCAUAGAGAUAUAUAUAACAUUGAGGCUUACGCUUGUAUGCCUCAAAGGCACGCCUCUAUCAUCAAAGGAGUAAGCCUCUUUUUGUUUGUCAUAGGCGUAAGCCUCCAGGCAACUUAUAGCUGCUUGAGGAACCUUGCCUUGUUUUUAGCACUUCGACAAGAAGGGAGUAUGCAGGGUUUGGCAGUUUGAGGUAUUGGUUAACUAUCUUCAAAUGUUCCUAACACAUGUUAGAUGUGUGUUGAGAUAUCUAUACAUGAAUUAAAUUUACCCAACCCAUCAGUUUAAACUUUUGGGUUGAGUGGUGGUUUAUUCAUUGUCCUUAAGAUAGUAUGUCAAAGCGGGAGGUCGUGUGUUUGAACCCUUGCUGUUUCCUCCCCAUUUGUAUUGAUUUCUACUUAUUGGGUCUUGUGCAAUUAUCAAAGCCCACAAGUGAAAGGGAGUGUUGAGAUAUCCCUAUAUGAAUUAAGCUUACCCAACCCAUCAGCUUAAGCUUUUUGGUUGAAUAAUGGUUUAUUCAUACUUAAUGUGGGAGGAAACUUUUGGAAUGACUUGAACGUAAAGAUCAAAGUAAGAAUAUAAGUCUAUCAAAACAUGCCACAAAACAUAUGACCACAAAACGAUGAGAGCACAAUUCAUGGAGUGGGAUGGGAGGAUGAGGGAUGUGAAAUUCCAUGAAGGAUGGGGAACCAUGUGUUCUUAUGUUUGGAAAAAGAGAGCAAGAUUCCUAGAGUGGGGAGGGAUGUGAAAUUCCAUGAAGGAUGGGAACUAUGUGUGCUUAUGUUUGGAAAAAGACGAGAGAUGUGGAAGAACCUUGCCUAUGAGGUGAAAUUAUCCUACCAGAUUCAUAUGAAUUGAAGCUAAGGGAGCGACAUGGGUCGAGCUCGCUAGACCCAAUCAUCCAAUCUGAACUGAUUAGACUCGGUUGAGUUGGUCCGGACCAACUCAAGGAGACUCCUAAAGAGGAGAGGCCUGGGACAAGGUGUUUGUCAGAACUUUUGUCGUUGGAAUACGAAUUCAAAUUUCAACAUCAAAGGCAAUAUAAUAUAAGAUCAAAUGAAGGAAAUUGCUUUGG